GACGAACGCUGGCGGCGUGCCUAAUACAUGCAAGUCGAGCGAAGUUUUUCUGGUGCUUGCACUAGAAAAACUUAGCGGCGAACGGGUGAGUAACACGUAAAGAACCUGCCUCAUAGACUGGGACAACUAUUGGAAACGAUAGCUAAUACCGGAUAACAGUAUUUCUCGCAUGAGAGAUAUUUAAAAGUUGGUUAUGCUAACACUAUGAGAUGGCUUUGCGGUGCAUUAGCUAGUCGGUGGGGUAAAGGCCCACCAAGGCGACGAUGCAUAGCCGACCUGAGAGGGUGAUCGGCCACACUGGGACUGAGACACGGCCCAGACUCCUACGGGAGGCAGCAGUAGGGAAUCUUCCGCAAUGGGCGAAAGCCUGACGGAGCAACGCCGCGUGAGUGAAGAAGGAUUUCGGUUCGUAAAGCUCUGUUGUUAGGGAAGAAUGGAUAUGUAGUAACCAUACAUGUAAGAGACGGUACCUAACCAGAAAGCCACGGCUAACUACGUG
rnacentral:rRNA from 1 species